CCCGUUUUAGGGGUAGUUACCCAUUAUAAACAAAAUUUCCUCUGUUCUUAUCAGCUUGAUAUCUGAUACGCUCCUCAUUGAGGAGCCAGAAUAUCGAACUGAUUUUUGGAAUAUGGCGGAGUGUCUGGGGCUUGCUCCGNAAAAAAAACGUGUAGCGUCCUGUAAGUUGUGGCUGUGCCCGUCUUAGAUUAU
rnacentral:snRNA from 1 species